GCCGAGGACAUCCUCGAGGCAGGCGUCCCCUCCGCUGAGCGAAUGCGAUGCCUUCUGAUGAAGAAGACUCGGAGAUGGAACAACCUGCGGCAGCAGAAGGGCAGCCCAGCGAGCCAAGCUGCAAUGAGGUUAUCGAUGCGGCUCGACAGAUACAUCUGCAAGUAUGUGAAGGACCUGGCUGCCUACACGGACCAAGCCAUCUCUCGGAGCAGGCAGGCCAGGGUGGAGGGGCAGCUUGCAGAGCAAACGGCAGCUCCUGCAGCUGGCAGCACGGAUGAGGUUUGCUGCCAGGCAGCCCGAAACAGCAGACUAAGGAAAUGCAUCAGCUUUCCUAGGCCCCACAUGUGCAACCAAGAGAACUUGAGCGAGGUGAGCAGGGCAGACCCCGAGGUCACGGUCGGGUUCAACCAGGAGCUGAGAUCGCCAGGCAAGUUCAGCCACCGUCCCAGCGACCGUCCUCCGUGCCUGCUGGCGGCUGCACGCCAAGAGGCGCCGAACCACCACCGCCGAGGAGCGGCCGCCUGGCGCGGGCAGGGCCACCGCCGAGGCCGAGGGCGCAGCGCCUUCGCCCGCGGGGAUGAUGCCGGCACAACCCGGGCCCGCGGGCUCGGCAGCCAGGCCCUGCCCGUCCUCAGGGGGAAAGAAGGGGGCAGAGCCGCCCCCCACCGCUCGCCUGAACUGUCUCCCCAGCCUCUCCCUUGGACCGACACCAAUAAACAGAUGUUGUUGAUUUAUUCUCUGCCGGCUCGGCCUGUCCUUGCGGGACGCCAACGCGGCGUGGCACAGCCGGGCC
rnacentral:lncRNA from 1 species